UACGUAGGGUCCGAGCGUUGUCCGGAAUUACUGGGCGUAAAGAGCUCGUAGGUGGUUUGUCGCGUUGUUCGUGAAAACUCACAGCUUAACUGUGGGCGUGCGGGCGAUACGGGCAGACUGGAGUACUGCAGGGGAGACUGGAAUUCCUGGUGUAGCGGUGGAAUGCGCAGAUAUCAGGAGGAACACCGGUGGCGAAGGCGGGUCUCUGGGCAGUAACUGACGCUGAGGAGCAAAAGCUAGGGUAGCAAACGGG
rnacentral:rRNA from 1 species